GAUGAACGCUGGCGGCGUGCCUAAUACAUGCAAGUCGAGCGAACUGAUUAGAAGCUUGCUUCUAUGACGUUAGCGGCGGACGGGUGAGUAACACGUGGGCAACCUGCCUGUAAGACUGGGAUAACUUCGGGAAACCGAAGCUAAUACCGGAUAGGAUCUUCUCCUUCAUGGGAGAUGAUUGAAAGAUGGUUUCGGCUAUCACUUACAGAUGGGCCCGCGGUGCAUUAGCUAGUUGGUGAGGUAACGGCUCACCAAGGCAACGAUGCAUAGCCGGCCUAGGAGGGUGAUCGGCCACACUGGGACUGAGACACGGCCCAGACUCCUACGGGAGGCAGCAGUAGGGAAUCUUCCGCAAUGGACGAAAGUCUGACGGAGCAACGCCGCGUGAGUGAUGAAGGCUUUCGGGUCGUAAAACUCUGUUGUUAGGGAAGAACAAGUACAAGAGUAACUGCUUGUACCUUGACGGUACCUAACCAGAAAGCCACGGCUAACUACGUGCCAGCCGCCGCCGUAA
rnacentral:rRNA from 1 species